UUUGUACUUCCUUCGUCCGGAAAUACUUGUCAUCAAGAUGAAUAAAAGGGAAUGUAUUUAGAUGUAUUUUAUUUCUCGAUAUAUCCCCUUUUAUUCAUUUUGAUGACAAGUAUUUUCAGACGAAGGGAGUAUAUA
rfam:Triticum aestivum genome assembly, contig: Triticum_aestivum_CS42_TGACv1_scaffold_093540_2AL